ACAGAAGGCUUUACAGAAACAGGAACAGAAGCUGCUCUUUGCAGAAGGGUCCUGGGGGUCAAUAUAGUCACGAUUGCUCAACUCUUCAUUAAGCUACAGGUUUAUAGGUUAUUUGAUAAUAAGUCCAGAAUGCAGCUGCUGUAGGUGAGUGCUGGAGUUCCAGAGGACAAUAUAUCAUAUAUAUAUAGAUAUAUAUAUAUGUAUAUAUCUUUAAAGUUUUUGAAAUUUAAUUUUAAUUUUUUUUUAUCAUUUUCUUUGUGACUAAGCUGCCAUCAUGGUUCCAGUAAUCCAUUUCUUUCUUUUUUUUUCUUUCCUAAUUAUCUUCCCUUGGCUGGUACUCAGAUAGUUUCUACUUUUUGCACUUGUUGGGGUAACUAUUUCUCUGCUUUUUUUUUCGUUGAAAUUGCAUAUCAAUUCACCGGAUUCUGAUUUACUAGAAACUGAUUGUAGAAGGGGAGGGAAGCGAGACAGUUUUUACAGGGAGGUGUUUAAAAGUGGAAAUUUGAGGGCUUUCCUGUCUUUCCUGGUCUGCUUCUCUACAAAGGACAAUGCAAAAUGAGUAUACGUCCCUCAAGGAGAGCUUGCAGGACACGGUCUAGAAAGGAAAAGACUGUACUCAGCUGCAUGUAGCUUCACCCUGUCAUACUUACUUGGGUUGAUAGUCAGCCUGGUUCCUUGGCCAAAUACCAGCUUCUGGGCUCCCUGAAUUACACCACAGCACGAGGCUUUACAGAAACUGCCAGCGAGGGCCCACCUCUCCCCACUGAGGAAGACAUAUGAUCUGCCCUCCUAGCAGUCCAGGGCUGUGGCAGAGAAUGGCCCGAAUUUCACUGGCCAGAGAAGUUUAGGACAGGAUCUCCUUGGGCUGCUCAUUUUCUCUUUCACAAAGCCUCCUUUAGCAGUUGUAGACAUGGUCCAGAUUUUCCAGUUGCCUUGCCAAUCAAAUAUUUAACAUCUUUGUUUUCACCCCACAGAAUUUUAAUUUUUUUUUAAAACAUUUCUUUCAUCUUUUACAGAGCUCUCCCUAAAAACAGCUGGAUUAAAAGAAUCUUUAAAGUCAGAGUCUACUAGGUCUCCCGAGUAAAGUUAAUCUGGCUUCCUCCUUAAAAUUUCCGGUUUGAAUGCGAGGGCCUGCUCAUCUGGGACCUAAUUUGUCGUGCUAAGACAGGAAAGGUGAAAAGGCAAUGCAGAAAAUCCAGGGGAAAUCCUGCACUGUGAGAUCUUCUUGUCCCUCCACACUUACUUGGAUUUAUUUUUGUACUCAUCCCCUUUCCCCAACAGGAGCAUUACCAGCACUUGUCACUAACAGGGAUCCAUCCUCCAAAUCAACUCUAGAGACUCCCACCCACAGGAAUUUUAGUGUGGAAACAGACAUGGUUUCUUCCUCUGCUCAGGGAAAUUUAAUUGAAAAACCAUUUCUAAUUUUGCCAAAUGGAAAGGAUUAGGAGAAAAUCUGUUUGCCUCUGUUCUCCUUCCUCCUCCCCCUUCGUCUUCAACAGUUUUAAACUAUUUAUAGAAACAUCCCUUUAGGGUUAGAGAAAUGUGGCAAAUUUCUAAUCUCUUCAUCCUUUUUCUUGCUAUCUAUUUACCGCAGUCAUGUAUUUACAAUCUAAAUUUACAUUUCAUUUCCAUUUGCAGGAGCUUCUAAUGCACUUCUCUAUUACUUCAAGAACACUGUGUAUAAUAAUAAACUCUACAGAAAUAAACCAAAUCACAAGAAGCUUUCAGGUCUGGAGGCUGACAUUUCUCAAGACAGAUGCAAAAACCCAGGCCCAGAGAGAUGAAGAAACCUGGCUAAGCUCCUUGAAGCUAGAAAUGGCCUACCUGUAGAAUCUGUCUUCACUUCAAAGUCAGUGGAGUGCACAGUUUUAUUGUCGUGUUGAACUGAACAUGUCACUGAAUUUGAAUCUUCAUAUUUACCAAGCUUGACAGCAUUGUACUUCCCACUGGGAGAGAUGACAAUAGCAGGAUCAAACUCUGUUAUCUUCUUGGAUGACACGAGAUUUAUUCUUAUAUCCUUGGGGUAGAAUUCCUUCACCAGACAAGCGACAUUUGUUCCAUUUUUCAUGACAAAAACGGAUGGUUUGGUAUGAGGCUGACUUCCUGCAAAUAUAAUCAACUUAUUAG
rnacentral:lncRNA from 1 species